rnacentral:rRNA from 1 species
CCUACGGGGAGCUGCAGUGAGGAAUAUUGGUCAAUGGCCGGAAGGCUGAACCAGCCAUGCCGCGUGAAGGUCAGUGCCCUAUGGGCGUUAAACUUCUUUUGUGCGGGAGCAAUAAUGGUCACGUGUGGCCAGACGAGAGUACCGUACGAAUAAGCAUCGGCUAACUCCGUGCCAGCAGCCGCGGUAAUACGGGGGAUGCAAGCGUUAUCCGGAUUUAUUGGGUUUUAAGGGUGCGUAGGCUGUGAGGUAAGUCAGCGGGGAAAUGCCCCCGCUCAACGGGGUGAAGUGCCAUUGAUACUGCCUUGCUGGAAUGCGGAUGCCGUGGGAGGAAUGUGUGGUGUAGCGGUGAAAUGCAUAGAUAUCACACAGAACACCGAUUGCGAAGACAUCUCACGAAUCCGCGAUUGACGCUGAUGCACGAAAGCGUGGGUAUCAAACAGGAUUAGAUACCCGAGUAGUC